rnacentral:misc_RNA from 1 species
GAUGAAGAACGCAGCGAAAUGCGAUAAGUAAUGUGAAUUGCAGAAUUCAGUGAAUCAUCGAAUCUUUGAACGCACAUUGCGCCCAUUAGUAUUCUAGUGGGCAUGCCUGUUCGAGCGUCAUUGCUGCCCUCAAGCACGGCUUGUGUGUUGGGCCCCGUCCUCCGAUCCCGGGGGACGGGCCCGAAAGGCAGCGGCGGCACCGCGUCCGGUCCUCGAGCGUAUGGGGCUUUGUCACCCGCUCUGUAGGCCCGGCCGGCGCUUGCCGAUCAACCCAAAUUUUUAUCCAGGUUGACCUCGGAUCAGGUAGGGAUACCCGCUGAACUUAAGCAUAUCAAUAAGCGGAGGA